AGACGGAGGGGGCUAGCGUUGUUCGGAAUUACUGGGCGUAAAGCGCGCGUAGGCGGUCCGCGUAGUCAGGCGUGAAAGCCCCGGGCUCAACCUGGGAACUGCGCUUGAUACUGGCGGGCUAGAGUCCGGGAGAGGGUAGCGGAAUUCCCAGUGUAGAGGUGAAAUUCGUAGAUAUUGGGAAGAACACCAGUGGCGAAGGCGGCUACCUGGACCGGUACUGACGCUGAGGUGCGAAAGCGUGGGGAGCAAACAGGAUUAGAAACCCCAGUAGUCC
rnacentral:rRNA from 1 species